rnacentral:rRNA from 1 species
UUUAUUGGAGAGUUUGAUCUUGGCUCAGGACGAACGCUGGCGGCGUGCCUAAUACAUGCAAGUCGAGCGCAGGAAGCUUUUCCGAUCCCUUCGGGGAGAGGAGAAGUGGAAUGAGCGGCGGACGGGUGAGUAACACGUGGGCAACCUACCUGUAAGAUCGGGAUAACUCGCGGAAACGUGAGCUAAU